rnacentral:ncRNA from 1 species
CAGGAAUCCUGCUCAGUAUGAGAUGAUCCGCAGAUUCAUAGGUGGUGUCUGGUCUUGGCUGAGGAGCCAGUGGUGUGAAGCUGCCUUCUGUAGGAUUAUGACUGAGUGCCUCUGAGUCAGAACCCCCCAUGAAA